rnacentral:rRNA from 1 species
AUUGAACGCUGGCGGCAUGCUUUACACAUGCAAGUCGAACGGUAACAGGGUGCUUGCACCGCUGACGAGUGGCGAACGGGUGAGUAAUGCGUCGGAACGUGCCGAGUAGUGGGGGACAACGCAGCGAAAGCUGUGCUAAUACCGCAUACGUACUGAGGUAGAAAGUGGGGGACCUUCGGGCCUCACGCUAUUCGAGCGGCCGACGUCUGAUUAGCUAGUAGGUGAGGUAAAGGCUCACCUAGGCGACGAUCAGUAGCGGGUCUGAGAGGAUGAUCCGCCACACUGGGACUGAGACACGGCCCAGACUCCUACGGGAGGCAGCAGUGGGGAAUUUUAGACAAUGGGCGAAAGCCUGAUCCAGCCAUGCCGCGUGUCUGAAGAAGGCCUUCGGGUUGUAAAGGACUUUUGUCAGGGAGGAAAUCCCUAGUGCUAAUAACACUGGGGGAUGACAGUACCUGAAGAAUAAGCACCGGCUAACUACGUGCCAGCCGCCGCGGUAA